AUUGAACGCUGGCGGCAGGCCUAACACAUGCAAGUCGAACGAGUGGCGGACGGGUGAGUAAUGUCUGGGAAACUGCCCGAUGGAGGGGGAUAACUACUGGAAACGGUAGCUAAUACCGCAUACCAUCGGAUGUGCCCAUAUGGGAUUAGCUAGUAGGUGGGGUAAAGGCUCACCAAGGCGACGAUCCCUAGCUGGUCUGAGAGGAUGCCCAGCCACACUGGAACUGAGACACGGUCCAGACUCCUCCGGGAGGCAGCAGUGGGGAAUAUUGCACAAUGGGGGCAAGCCUGAUGCAGCCAUGCCGCGUGUAUGAAGAAGGCCUUCGGGUUGUAAAGUACUUUCAGCGGGGAGGCGUUACCCGCAGAAGAAGCACCGGCUAACUCCGUGCCAGCAGCCGCGGUAAUUC
rnacentral:rRNA from 1 species